UAGGGAAUCUUCGGCAAUGGACGAAAGUCUGACCGAGCAACGCCGCGUGAGUGAAGAAGGUUUUCGGAUCGUAAAACUCUGUUGUUAGAGAAGAACAAGGACGUUAGUAACUGAACGUCCCCUGACGGUAUCUAACCAGAAAGCCACGGCUAACUACGUGCCAGCAGCCGCGGUAAUACGUAGGUGGCAAGCGUUGUCCGGAUUUAUUGGGCGUAAAGCGAGCGCAGGCGGUUUCUUAAGUCUGAUGUGAAAGCCCCCGGCUCAACCGGGGAGGGGCAUUGGAAACUGGGAGACUUGAGUGCAGAAGAGGAGAGUGGAAUUCCAGGUGUAGCGGUGAAAUGCGUAGAGAUCUGGAGGAAUACCGGUGGCGAAGGCGGCCCCCUGGACGAAGACUGACGCUCAGGUGCGAAAGCGUGGGGAGCAAACAGG
rnacentral:rRNA from 1 species